UCAACUUGGAAACCCCCAACCCCAAGCCCUCGCCGAUUACAAUCUCUGGCGCAAAUCUAUCCGUGAAGCGUUCAGCGAUGGCAGAAGCAGCAGCAAUAGCAGUGGCCUCUUCCCAUUCUGAAAGUCGUGAUCGAUAAGCUGGGUUCUAGAUUUUGGGAAGAGCUGGGAUUGGUGUGGAGUGUCAACUCUGACAUGGAGAGGCUGCAGAGCGUGCUGUCGACGAUCAGCGAUGUACUCGAUGAUGCCGAGAGGAGAUCCAUCUGCGACAAAGCUCUGGCUGGUUGGCUGAGGAAGCUCAAGGAUGCAGCUUUUCGAUGCCGACGACGUGGUGGGUGAGUUUCAGUACGAAGCCCUACGACGAAGGAUCCAGAGACGCAGCCAGCUGGUCGGAAAGGUAAGCGACUUCUUCUCUCCUGACAACCAAAUUGCUUUUCGCCGUAAGAUGGCUCACAAGAUAAAAACGAUCAAUAAGAGACUGGGCGAGAUCGCAGAAGAGAGGUCAAAAUUCCAUCUGGCAGAGGGAUCCACCUCAGGAAGGACCCUCGAUCGAGAGACCUACUCAGUUGUGAUUGAGUCCGAUGUUUAUGGACGAGGUGAAGACAAAGAAAAGAUCGUAAAUUUCUUGGUCGGUGCAGAUGAUAGGAGUGAUGUCUCGGUGCUUCCCAAUAGUUGGGUUGGGCGGAGUUGGGAAGACCACACUUGCCCAGCUAGCUUAUAAUUAUCAGGGGAUAAAAGAGCACUUUGAUCUUACAUCGUGGGUCUGUGUUUCUGAUGACUUUAGCAUCAAGGCAAUUAUUAAAAAUAUUAUUGGGUGUGAAGCCUCAAAACUUGGAAGCUGCUCAACGUGAACUCCAGACGAAACUGGGUGGGAGGAGAUUCUUGCUUGUUCUGGACGAUGUCUGGAACGAGGAUGAAGCAGAGUGGGAGAGACUGAAGACCUUACUGAGAUGUGGCCGGCAAGGAAGCAAGAUCAUAACUACAACACGAAGCCAUGUGGUUGCCAGGAUCAUGGGAACGGUAGCUCCGCAUAAUUUGCAAGGCUUGACAUCCGCUGACUGCUGGACUCUGUUCAAGCAGAGAGCAUUUGGGCCAGGAAGAGAAGAAGAGACUCCAAGGUUGGUUGAAAUUGGAAAGGAGAUCGUUGAAAAAUGUGGGGGCUUGCCCUUGGCUGCAAAGGCUCUCGGAAGUCUAAUGAGCUCUAGAAGAGGGGAGAAGGAGUGGUUGCAAGUCAGAGAUAGCGAACUAUGGAGAUUGCCUGGAAACGAGAAUAGUAUAUUACCAGCACUACAGUUGAGUUAUGAUCAUUUGCCUUCUAAUUUAAAGCAGUGUUUUGCUUAUUGUUCGAUAUUUCCAAAAGAUUAUAGAAUUGAAAGGGAGAAACUGAUUCAGCUGUGGACUGCCGAAGGUUUCAUCCAAACAUCGGACGGUGAUAUGCUUGAAGAGGAAGUUGGCAAUCGAUACUUCAAUAGCUUGUUGUGGAGAUCCUUUUUUCAGGAUACGGAAACAGAUUCCCAGUAACAACAUACGGUUCUGUAAGAUGCAUGACUUGGUGCAUGAUCUUGCGUGUUCUAUCGCAGGAGAUGAGUCCUCGAUCACGAAGGUGGGCAUGAAGACAAGAAUUCCACGGGGAUGUCGGUCUUCAUCAAUUCUUUAUGAGGAUAACAUGUCGUCGGCGACUUUAGAGGCAGAUUUUGAAGCAAAGAAACUGAGAUCGCUUAUUUCAUUGAAUAGGAUGAGGUUUGAUAUUCAUCAAGAAUUUGCCAAUCUAUGCGAUGUCAUCCCUUACUCAUCUCCGUGCAUUAGAUCUAUCUCGAGCUGGCAUCAAAGAGUUGCCCUGCACAAUCAGCAAGUUAAAACAUCUUAAGCUCCUUGAUUUGUCGGGGACUUCUAUUGAAGCUUUGCCUGACUCGAUUACUGACCUUCACAACUUGCGGACUUUGAACCUUGGAUAUUGUCGAGAACUAAAAAGUUUGCCGGAGGGAAUGAGCAGUAUGAGCAGCCUGAGACACCUAGACAUCCGUGGAUGUAGCAGCUUGAUUUGCAUGCCCCGUUGGUUGGGCCGGUUGCGUAACAUCCAAACAAUGCCCAUGUUUAUCGCGGGCAAAGAGCGUGGACGUACUAUUUCUGAGUUGGAGCACCUAAAUUUGAUCAGUGGUGAACUUGAAAUCACGAACCUUGACAAUGUGCAGGAUCCAUUGGAAGCCACGAAAGCAGACCUGGCAUCGAAGAUAAACCUGCAAUCAUUGGUUCUGAUGUGGAACAAUCACUCAUAUAUGGAAUCGGCAGCAUCCCCCAUGUCAGAGGUGGAGGGAAGUAUUUGAGAGGCUCCAGCCUCACUCUAAUCUGAAGAAGCUAGUUAUUUAUAGGUAUCCAGGUAUGAAGUUCCCAACUUGGAUGGCAUCUUCACCAAUCCACAAUCUAGUUAGGAUCAAGCUGGCAAUACUCGAGAGAUGUGAGUAUCUUCCAGCGCUUGGUCACCUGCCUCUUCUUCAGGAACUCAAAAUGUUGUGUAUGAAUGCUGUAAGGAGAAUCGGAGUGGAGUUUUAUGGGGAUGGAGGUAUAUUUCCCUCGUUACGAAGUCUCUCUAUGUCCGAGUUGCGUGAUUUGGAGGAAUGGUCUGCAGAGGCAACGGCAGGAGGAAAAUCGGUGAUGGCAUUCCCUUGCCUUGAAAAGUUCACGGUAUUCGGAUGCCCCAAAUUGAGGGUAGCACCACGUGUCCCACCGUCAGUCGUGGAUGUUACUAUCGAGGGGUGAUCGGCUAUUAUUAGCAGUGACCACAGGAGGGUUGUACAGACUGAGAAGACUCCGUAUUCAUAACUGUGAAGCACUAUCAUCGCCGUUCCGGUGGGAGUGGAUGCAGGAUCUCACUGCUCUUACUAGCUUGUAUAUCAGGGACGAUAAGAUGAUGUGUUUGCCCGAGGGCAUCUUGCAGCUGCGCAUGCCCUCCCUCCAAGACUUUACCACGAACUGCAGGAACCUGAAGUCCAUAUCGGGGGAAGAAAGGGAUAAGCAACAGCAGCCUCCCACCUUCUUCAUGACCAUCCAACAGCUCUGCUUAUAUUUCCCCGAGAAUUUGACCGUUGUGCCGGAGUGGCUAGGGAGCCUCACAGCGCUUCAGAACCUGUCGAUCUUCGGCUGCCCCAGCUGCUGGCGAGGCGAUGCGAGAGGGAGAGAGGCGAGGACUGGCCCAAGAUCGCUCACAUCCCACGCAUCGACAUCUCGCCAGCCGAAGCAAGGGAAGAAGACAGAGAAGAAAAUAGCCAAGAGAUCUAUUACUUCAUUAAUCAGAAAGUUAAGAUUAACGAGCUGCACGGGCCAUGGCUGAUGUGGCAACAGCACCAUCCGGUGAAAUGUUAUCUCUGUUGGCUUUGACACUUGGUUCGGUGGUGGACAGCAAGAAAUUGGGGCAGCAGCAGUUUGCUCAAAGCAAGCCAAAGAUGAAUUGCAGGAGUAUCAGCUCCCCGGCUCGCUGGUUUUUAUUGCUGCAAUAUUUUCGGAUCACUGCUUUUGCCUCAUUGUUAAGAUCUUCGACGACUCCUCUGGAGAACCUCAAAUCCUCUGUUCUCCGGUGUUACUGUCUCCCUCAGGGGGGAUCCAAAAUCUUCAGCAAGUCUCCAAGCCCUGCCCUGGACCAUGCGUCUAAAGACCAUGGCUAUGGCUCCAUCGUCCCAGCACAUCCAAGUGCUUCCACUCUAUUGCAGCAGUGUUGCUGAGCACAUCCAAUGCCUGAUGGUUUCAUGCUCCCUACAUUCUGCGGUCUGUGGAGUACUUUUCAUCAUCCCUCAGCUUCUUAUGUGCACGCAGUGCUUUAUGUAUUGGAAUGAAUAGCGACAUAUUGAUUAUUACGUCCUCUGUAUGCUUGAAAGUGAUAGAGCAUAAAUAGUUUAUAAAUACUCUGUAAAUUACCAUUCUGUGUACCUUUAUGUUUAUUUUGUUAUUUAAUGCUGAAUUUCUCUUCCUCUGGCUGUACUAGAUCAAGGUAAUCCAAUCAGGAGCACAGGCUAGGACCGUAAAUUGAUAAGUUUGGUGGGACUAUUAGCAUAUGACACCAUGAGUGUGGCAAUCUAGGAGACCAAGAAUGAACUAUCUAUAAAUGGUGCUGCAUUUAUUGCUAUUGGUGUAUAACUAGAAGUUUCUGGCAGUCUAGAAGUUUGAAUUGGUUUUAUUUUGUUGCUACAUUAGUUUGAGUGUGGUUCUUGGAAUUGAUUGUGGAGGCACAGGCGGUGGUUUCGGCUUGUCCAUAUGGAGAGUGACUGUGCGAAGAAAGUAGAAAGUUCAAUGGAUUGUGGAGCAAAUGGCUUGCACACCCUAAUGGCAUUGUGAUAAUAUGGAAGUUUAUUUUUUGCUGUGUUACUAUAAAUUUGAGAAACAUUAUUUUGUGUACCAUAACUAAUAGUGAUGACUUGCUAGCA